GCAGGACUGGCCUGUCAUGAAAUGUCAUAAUCAGCUGAUAUCGCUGGAACUUCCACACCUGGUUGGAUAUUGAUUUUACUUCAAAGAAGGCUCACGAUGUAGGAGAUGACGAUCCACUCCUGGAGGGACGGCCAGCCAUCCAUCCGCACCAGGAUGACGUAGUUAAACAGCAGCAGGUUGACACAUCUAAAAGAAUCUUUGUUUCCAACUGGACUGACUCAUUGAGAGGAAACCUUCACUGCACCUCACCAGUGCAGACAGAAGACCUGGAGGCAGGACGGGAGGCAUUUUAUACUUCAGCACGAUAUGGGCCCUGACUUUUCAUUUUCUACAUGGAGACAUAUUGAUCCUGCCUCCCAAGCCUAUAAGCUUUACCAGGAGAGAGGCAGGCCCCACCCCAAGAUCCACUAUCCACUCUUUGAAGAAAGAUUAGAGCCAUGUUCUCAGACUUUGGGCUGCAUCCUAAUCCCUGCGAAGCUGCACAAUGUGUGAUGACUCCACCCUCCACCCGAUCCAGAGGGUCUGGGGUGAGACCCAAGGCUGAGAGGCCUCGAUGGCUUCCUGGCCCCAUCUCCGGCAGCAGCCUCUAUGGCUGGGCUCUCCUGCAGGCUGGGUGCACCCCAGGCCCUCAGAUGGUUCUAACCAGAAUCGAUGGGCAGCAGUGACUUCGACUGUAUCAUCAAUCUUGGCUGCCACAAGGUUGGGUGUCCAGGCCCUCAGCUGACCCUUGAGGUGGGCCCCCACACAGAGCUUUGCUCUGCCCCCAGCCCACCCUCAUUCAUCGCCCAGACCACGGCCAGGGACCCAGCUCCUCAUGUCCCAUACCCUGCUCUCACCUCAUCACCAGUGCAACCACAGCACCGAGGCCUGCCUGGCGGGGGCUGUGGCUUGAUGCUUGGGAUUUCAUGAGAAGUCUCUCUCCUCCCGACUGACGUGGUUGCACAAGCCACAGUGUGCCUGGCCACCCCCACUGGGACCGCCUGCAGCUCGGCCAUUUCCCCCAGAGGCGCUCUGAUCUGCCCUCCUGCCUCCUCUCCUGUU
rnacentral:lncRNA from 1 species